CGGGAAGAACCACAGGUGGGUCCAGCAGCAGACGGUGCUGAUCCUGCAGGUCGGACCGAGACUCUGAGCAGCGUCACGGAGAGAUCUGCCGACAGCAGCGCUCUCACUGUCAGGCCGGUGUGCG